UUCAUUUCAUAAACUCUUAACAAAGAUUUCUUCAAAAAAAAAAUAAAUGAACUCUUAACAAAGAAAAUAAAAAGAAGAAAACCAUCGAGCCCUAACGCCUUUCUUCUUAACGUGAUCCUCCUUCUUCCUAACCCCAUUUUCCAACUCAUCCAUGGAGCCUAACCUUCUCUCCCAGCCACGCACUCUCCUCCCCUCAGGCACGGUGCCACCCUGACCAGCAACCGUCACUACUCACCAGACUCAGAGACACCUUGGCCCGCGGCAGAACUCCUUGUAUGACUGACGACGGUGACGAUUGACGAUGGACGAGUGAUAACUGAUGACUGAUAGUGCUUCUCUGUAUUGACGCUUUGCAGCUUGCUGAUUACUGGUUUGACUGCCUGCUUCUCAGUGACGACUGCCGUUUCUCUGUUGGUCUGGUCAUCUUCUUCUUAUCUGUUAGCUCUGCCACCUCUUCUCUGCUCUCUUCUCCAGUCGUCCUCUUCAUCUCUUCUUAAGUAAAUAAUUAAUUAUUAUAAUUAAUUAAUGUUAUGAUAAGGGAAUAUGGAUUUUGAUUAUCACAACUUCUGACUAGGGGUGUGGGUCUUGAUUUUGAUUAUUAGAACUUGUGAUUAGGGAUGUUAUUUUUUAUUAUCAAAACUUCUGAAUAUUAGGGCUAUUGAUUAUUGUUCUGUGUAGCAUUUUUUUCUGAUUUGUUACUUGUUUUUUUAAUCUGUUCAGAUUAGUAAUUUAGUAUUAUUAGAACUUAAAAUUAGGGUGUAUAGCUAAAUCCGUAAAGAAACUGAAAUAUGUACGAUUAGUGGUUUUGCAACUAAACUCUUGUGAAUUACCUAAAUUUGUGUAAGCUCUACGAGUUUUGUUGAACUCUUGAUUAUUGCCUUGAAACUAUGAAAUUGGUGAAAGGGGCAUGUGGGGUGUGUUAUGCUUAAAAAUUUUAAUUGGGAGACAUUCAAAGUUCAAAGCACAUGCAGGAUGGCUUAUACAUUCAUGUAAUUUAACUCUCUCUCUGUCACUCUGUGUUGGAUUGGCAUCACCUAAACUUGCGCCAUGGGGCAGGUGCUUCAUUUGUUAUGAUGAAUGUCAAACUAAAAUCAAUGUUAAUACUAUUUCAAAAGUUCAUAUUUA